UCCGUAGGCAGCGAGCGUUGUUCGGAGUUACUGGGCGUAAAGGGUGUGUAGGCGGUUGUUUAAGUUUGGUGUGAAAUCUCCCGGCUCAACUGGGAGGGUGCGCCGAAUACUGAAUGACUCGAGUGCGGGAGAGGAAAGUGGAAUUCCUGGUGUAGCGGUGAAAUGCGUAGAUAUCAGGAGGAACACCGGUGGUGUAGACGGCUUUCUGGACCGUAACUGACGCUGAGACACGAAAGCGUGGGUAGCAAACAGG
rnacentral:rRNA from 1 species